rnacentral:rRNA from 1 species
ACGAAGGGUGCAAGCGUUAAUCGGAAUUACUGGGCGUAAAGGGUGCGUAGGCGGUUCGUUAAGUCUGUCGUGAAAUCCCCGGGCUCAACCUGGGAAUGGCGAUGGAUACUGGCGAGCUAGAGUGUGUCAGAGGAUGGUGGAAUUCCUGGUGUAGCGGUGAAAUGCGCAGAUAUCAGGAGGAACACCGGUGGCGAAGGCGGGUCUCUGGGCCUUACCUGACGCUGAGGAGCGAAAGCAUGGGUAGCCAACAGGA